rnacentral:rRNA from 2 species
UGCAAGUCGUACGAUGGUCCCCUUAAGUGGGGAUUAGUGGCGAACGGGUGAGUAACACGUGGGCAAUCUGCCCUGCACUCUGGGACAAGCCCUGGAAACGGGGUCUAAUACCGGAUACUGACCAUCUUGGGCAUCUUUGAUGGUCGAAAGCUCCGGCGGUGCAGGAUGAGCCCGCGGCCUAUCAGCUAGUUGGUGAGGUAAUGGCUCACCAAGGCGACGACGGGUAGCCGGCCUGAGAGGGCGACCGGCCACACUGGGACUGAGACACGGCCCAGACUCCUACGGGAGGCAGCAGUGGGGAAUAUUGCACAAUGGGCGAAAGCCUGAUGCAGCGACGCCGCGUGAGGGAUGACGGCCUUCGGGUUGUAAACCUCUUUCAGCAGGGAAGAAGCGAAAGUGACGGUACCUGCAGAAGAAGCGCCGGCUAACUACGUGCCAGCAGCCGCGGUAAUACGUAGGGCGCAAGCGUUGUCCGGAAUUAUUGGGCGUAAAGAGCUCGUAGGCGGCUUGUCACGUCGGUUGUGAAAGCCCGGGGCUUAACCCCGGGUCUGCAGUCGAUACGGGCAGGCUAGAGUUCGGUAGGGGAGAUCGGAAUUCCUGGUGUAGCGGUGAAAUGCGCAGAUAUCAGGAGGAACACCGGUGGCGAAGGCGGAUCUCUGGGCCGAUACUGACGCUGAGGAGCGAAAGCGUGGGGAGCGAACAGGAUUAGAUACCCUGGUAGUCCACGCCGUAAACGGUGGGCACUAGGUGUGGGCAACAUUCCACGUUGUCCGUGCCGCAGCUAACGCA